rnacentral:rRNA from 1 species
GACGAACUUUGGCGGCGUGCUUAACACAUGCAAGUCGAACGGAAAGGCCCUGCUUUUGUGGGGUGCUCGAGUGGCGAACGGGUGAGUAACACGUGAGUAACCUGCCCUUGACUUUGGGAUAACCUCAGGAAACUGGGGCUAAUACCGGAUAGGAGCUCCUGCUGCAUGGUGGGGGUUGGAAAGUUUCGGCGGUUGGGGAUGGACUCGCGGCUUAUCAGCUUGUUGGUGGGGUAGUGGCUUACCAAGGCUUUGACGGGUAGCCGGCCUGAGAGGGUGACCGGCCACAUUGGGACUGAGAUACGGCCCAGACUCCUACGGGAGGCAGCAGUGGGGAAUAUUGCACAAUGGGCGGAAGCCUGAUGCAGCAACGCCGCGUGCGGGAUGACGGCCUUCGGGUUGUAAACCGCUUUCGCCUGUGACGAAGCGUGAGUGACGGUAAUGGGUAAAGAAGUACCGGCUAACUACGUGCCAGCAGCCGCGGUGAUACGUAGGGUGCGAGCGUUGUCCGGAUUUAUUGGGCGUAAAGGGCUCGUAGGUGGUUGAUCGCGUCGGAAGUGUAAUCUUGGGGCUUAACCCUGAGCGUGCUUUCGAUACGGGUUGACUUGAGGAGGGUAGGGGAGAAUGGAAUUCCUGGUGGAGCGGUGGAAUGCGCAGAUAUCAGGAGGAACACCAGUGGCGAAGGCGGUUCUCUGGGCCUUUCCUGACGCUGAGGAGCGAAAGCGUGGGGAGCGAACAGGCUUAGAUACCCUGGUAGUCCACGCUGUAAACGGUGGGUACUAGGUGUGGGGUCCAUUCCACGGGUUCCGUGCCGUAGCUAACGCUUUAAGUACCCCGCCUGGGGAGUACGGCCGCAAGGCUAAAACUCAAAGGAAUUGACGGGGCCCCGCACAAGCGGCGGAGCAUGCGGAUUAAUUCGAUGCAACGCGUAGAACCUUACCUGGGUUUGACAUGGAUCGGGAGUGCUCAGAGAUGGGUGUGCCUCUUUUGGGGUCGGUUCACAGGUGGUGCAUGCCUGUCGUCAGCUCGUGUCGUGAGAUGUUGGGUUAAGUCCCGCAACGAGCGCAACCCUUGUUCACUGUUGCCAGCACGUUAUGGUGGGGACUCAGUGGAGACCGCCGGGGUCAACUCGGAGGAAGGUGGGGAUGACGUCAAGUCCUCAUGCCCCUUAUGUCCAGGGCUUCACGCAUGCUACAAUGGCUGGUACAGAGAGUGGCGAGCCUGUGAGGGUGAGCGAAUCUCGGAAAGCCGGUCUCAGUUCGGAUUGGGGUCUGCAACUCGACCUCAUGAAGUCGGAGUCGCUAGUAAUCGCAGAUCAGCAACGCUGCGGUGAAUACGUUCCCGGGGCU